GCGAAAGAGUCCUUCGGGACUUUAUUAGAGCGGCGAAAGGGUGAGUAACGUAUAGGCAACGUACCCUCGGGACUGGGAUAACUGCUGGAAACGGCAGGUAAUACCGGAUGGUCAGGCCGGAAGGCAUCUUCUGGCUUGUAAAUGGAUUCUGCCCGGGGAGCGGCCUAUGCCCUAUUAGCUUGUUGGCGGGGUAAUGGCCCACCAAGGCAACGAUGGGUAGCCGGACUGAGAGGUUGGCCGGUCACACUGGGACUGAGACACUGCCCAGACUCCUACGGGAGGCUGCAGUCGAGAAUCUUCCGCAAUGGACGAAAGUCUGACGGGGCGACGCCGCGUGUGGGAUGAAGGCCUUCGGGUUGUAAACCACUGUUGCGAGCUAGGAAGGCUGCGUAAGCAGAUUGACCAGCUCGUUAGAAAGCACAGGCUAACUCCGUGCCAGCAGCCGCGGUAAUACGGAGUGUGCAAGCGUUACUCGGAAUCACUGGGCAUAAAGCGCACGUAGGCGGGUUGCAUAGUCGGCCGUGAAAGCCCCCGGCCCAACCGGGGAACUGCGACCGAAACUGGCAGUCUUGAGGACGAGAGGGGAGAGCGGAACUUCUGGUGGAGCGGUGAAAUGCGUAGAUAUCAGAAGGAACAUCGGUGGUGAAAACGGCUCUCUGGCUCGUUUCUGACGCUGAGGUGCGAAAGCUAGGGUAGCGAACGGGAUUAGAUACCCCGGUAGUCCUAGCCCUAAACGAUGUGCACU
rnacentral:rRNA from 1 species